UCUACCUUGCUGAUGAACAAAAGGUGUUCAUCAACAAUAGGAUAGUCUUUUUGAAAAAAAAAAAUUUUUGGGGAAGAAAUUAAUGUCACUAAGGUUAAACUUGAUGGAGUUUGAUCGAUAGAAAAAUUGACACAAUCUAGUGAACUCACAUAGUCAGAGUUGAUUAGAUCAAAUCUAAAAUUCAUUAUAGAUACAUCAUUAAGG
rnacentral:lncRNA from 1 species